AGUGAACGCUGGCGGUAGGCCUAACACAUGCAAGUCGAACGGCAGCACAGUAAGAGCUUGCUCUUACGGGUGGCGAGUGGCGGACGGGUGAGGAAUACAUCGGAAUCUACUUUUUCGUGGGGGAUAACGUAGGGAAACUUACGCUAAUACCGCAUACGACCUACGGGUGAAAGCAGGGGAUCUUCGGACCUUGCGCGAUUGAAUGAGCCGAUGUCGGAUUAGCUAGUUGGCGGGGUAAAGGCCCACCAAGGCGACGAUCCGUAGCUGGUCUGAGAGGAUGAUCCGCCCCACUGGAACUGAGACACGGUCCAGACUCCUACGGGAGGCAGCAGUGGGGAAUAUUGGACAAUGGGCGCAAGCCUGAUCCAGCCAUACCGCGUGGGUGAAGAAGGCCUUCGGGUUGUAAAGCCCUUUUGUUGGGAAAGAAAAGCAGCAGGUUAAUACCCCGCUGUUCUGACGGUACCCAAAGAAUAAGCACCGGCUAACUUCGUG
rnacentral:rRNA from 1 species